ACUUCAGCAGCAGCAGCAGCAGCAGCAGCAGUAAGGCGACGGAGCUGGAGUUGGGCUGGCCCAAUGGGCAGCGCUUCAGCAGCCUGAGCGCUCAUCAGCUGAAGGACGUCCACGGACGCUUUUCUGGCAGAUGUGACUUUGCAGCCAACGACGCUCCUGCUGGACUCCUACAAAAGGAGGGAAAGUGAAUAAUGGAGUAACAUAAUUUUUUAACAGAACCGCUGCAGAAAUCUCUUUUUUUUUUUUUUGUUGCAAUUUUUAAAAUUUUUUGUUGGUUUUUUUUUUUUUUUUUGGUUCAACUUUCAUUUUUGCACUGCAGGUAACGCACAUCGUCUUUAAAGAACAGAAGUUGAAAACAUACACAGCAGCAUUAGAAUCUGAUGAAUCUUUGAGGUUAUUUGGGUGAAGGUUCAUUAACAGCACUACCCCCUCCACCCCCCACCCCCCCCCCGCACCUGUUAGCAGUUAAUAUGAUGUUUGAAGCCCACCUCAGACAUUUCAUGGUCUAUCCAGCAGGGGGCGCUCAUAGCAGAAUUAAAGCUCAAAGAUUGAUUUGAUCGUAAAUAUUUUGGCUUCGGUUCAUUGCUAGCACUUUAGAGUCGAGACUUGGAGUCAAAGACUGUGACGAUUUCUUUAGCGACGACGUUGUGCGUGACCUGUUCUGCUCCGAGGAGGUAACGCUGAUGUGGACGAGGAGGGGCGAACUGGAGCACCGAGUGUGUGCCUGCAGCAGCAGCAUGUGACUAAACCGACCAAUCAGGACGGUCCAUUUUAAAACUAAAUCAAAUGCCGAGUGCCAAAGCUGGAUCUGCUGCGUCUCACGACACUUUAAAAACCGAGCGUUUUCUUUGUAAAUAAGAUCCAUCUGUUUGUUUGUCUGUUUUUUUCACAUAUUGCUAUGGAUUUGUACAAAUUUAUGGGGAAAAAAAUUUUGUUACAUUUUUUUAAAAAAUGGGAGCAAAACAAAACAUCCCCACAAAAAAAAAAUCCUCCUCCUUUUUUUCUCUCUUGUUUAAGAAACUGCCGCCAGAAAUCCUUGGUUUUUUUCUUCCGUUUUUUUUUUUCUUUUUUUUUUUCCGUCUCUUUUUUUGGUCUGUUUGUUCGGAUCCAGAACCACUAAACAAACAAACACGGACUUUUAAUGAAACUGGACGAAAACACAAGAAAGUCAAACCACACCACAGUAGGAGAAACACUACAGUUGUGACUUCACUGGCGCUGGACUUCUGGUUCACUACUUCCUGUCUGGAGGAGGGGGGGGGAGGGGCUUCACUUCAAUCCAAUCAGAUCCAAACAACACAAAUAAGCACCUUUAAACCUUUUUUAAAACUGUUCUGAAGUGAAGUGCUAUUACCAUUGUUAUUACUGUUGUUAUUAUUAUUAUUGUAGCCACUGUCGAAACCCUUUUUGAAGAAAAAUCGAACUAGAAAA